CCGUAGCCCAAGAGAUCGGGAUAACACCUGGAAACAGAUGCUAAUACCGGAUAACAACAGAUGAUGCCUAUCAACUGUUUAAAAGAUGGUUCUGCUAUCACUCUUGGAUGGACCUGCGGUGCAUUAGCUAGUUGGUAGGGUAACGGCCUACCAAGGCGAUGAUGCAUAGCCGAGUUAGAAGAAGACUGAUCGGCCACAUUGGGACUGAGACACGGCCCAAACUCCUACGGGAGGCAGCAGCC
rnacentral:rRNA from 1 species